rnacentral:rRNA from 1 species
UACAGAGGGGGCAAGCGUUGUUCGGAAUUACUGGGCGUAAAGCGUGCGCAGGCGGCUUUGCAAGACAGAUGUGAAAUCCCCGGGCUCAACCUGGGAACUGCAUUUGUGACUGCAAAGCUAGAGUACGGCAGAGGGAAGCGGAAUUUCCGGUGUAGCGGUGAAAUGCGUAGAUAUCGGAAGGAACACCAGUGGCGAAAGCGGCUUCCUGGUCCAGCACCGACGUUCAGGCACGAAAGCGUGGGGAGCAAACAGG